UACGUAGGGUGCGAGCGUUGUCCGGAAUUACUGGGCGUAAAGAGCUCGUAGGUGGUUUGUCGCGUUGUUCGUGAAAACCGGAGGCUUAACCUUCGGCGUGCGGGCGAUACGGGCAGACUGGAGUACUGCAGGGGAGACUGGAAUUCCCGGUGUAGUGGUGGAAUGCGUAGAUAUCGGGAGGAACACCAGUGGCGAAGGCGGUUGCCUGGAGCUUUGCUGACGCUGAGGCGCGAAAGCGUGGGGAGCGAUCCGG
rnacentral:rRNA from 1 species